UACGAAGGGGGCUAGCGUUGCUCGGAAUCACUGGGCGUAAAGCGCACGUAGGCGGCUCUUUAAGUCAGGGGUGAAAUCCUGGAGCUCAACUCCAGAACUGCCUUUGAUACUGAGGAUCUCGAGUCCGGGAGAGGUGAGUGGAACUGCGAGUGUAGAGGUGAAAUUCGUAGAUAUUCGCAAGAACACCAGUGGCGAAGGCGACUCACUGGACCGGUACUGACGCUGAGGUGCGAAAGCGUGGGGAGCAAACAGG
rnacentral:rRNA from 1 species